rnacentral:rRNA from 1 species
GACGAACGCUGGCGGCGUGCCUAAUACAUGCAAGUAGAACGCACAGUUUAUACCGUAGCUUGCUACACCAUAGACUGUGAGUUGCGAACGGGUGAGUAACGCGUAGGUAACCUGCCUGGUAGCGGGGGAUAACUAUUGGAAACGAUAGCUAAUACCGCAUAAUAUUAAUUAUUGCAUGAUAAUUAAUUGAAAGGUGCAAUUGCACCACUACCAGAUGGACCUGCUUUGUAUUAGCUAGUAGGUGAGGUAACGGCUCACCUAGGCGAAGAUACAUAGCCGACCUGAGAGGCUUGUCGGCCACACUGGGACUGAGACACGACCCAGACUCCUACGGGAGGCAGCAGUAGGGAAUCUUCGGCAAUGGACGAAAGUCUGACCGAGCAACGCCGCGUGAGUGAAGAAGGUUUUCGGAUCGUAAAGCUCUGUUGUAAGAGAAGAACGGGUGUGAGAGUGGAAAGUUCACACUGUGACGGUAUCUUACCAGAAAGGGACGGCUAACUACGUG